CCCAUAAAGGCGAACUCACCAAGGAAUGAAGAAACAAGUUCGUCGGAUGAUAGAGGUGAAGCGCCUGAGAAUCAUUAUACCGGACUUACAAGUCGCCCCGGGACUGUCCCGGCCGCUUAUGACACCAUCGUGUACCAGAACAGCCCCGCAACACCUCAAGAAGGGAUUUAUCAAAAUGUGAAGCCAGCAGUAAAAACCAAACCAAAGCAUGGACGCAAAGGAAAGAAGCAUAACGAUGGGAAUAUCUAUGAAAACUGCUGACGGCCACGAGAUGGAGUAGACGCCAACUAUUACAAACCAACAACAGUGCUUCCUUAAGAGGGAGGAUAAAGAUGAGUGAGUGAGUUGGGUUUAACGCCGCUUUUAACAGUAUUCCAGUUAUAUCGCGGCGUGUCAGCUUAAUGUGGGAGGAAAGCCCGAAGUG